CUACGGGUUGCUGCAGUGAGGAAUAUUGCACAAUGGGGGAACCCUGAUGCAGCAACGCCGCGUGGAGGAUGACGCAUUUCGGUGUGUAAACUCCUUUUAUAUGUCAAGAAAAUGACGGUAGCAUAUGAAUAAGCACCGGCUAACUCCGUGCCAGCAGCCGCGGUAAUACGGAGGGUGCAAGCGUUACUCGGAAUCACUGGGCGUAAAGGACGCGUAGGUGGGUUGGAAAGUCAGGUGUGAAAUCCUACAGCUUAACUGUAGAACUGCACUUGAAACUUCUAAUCUAGAGUAUGGGAGGGGGAGAUGGAAUUAGUGGUGUAGGGGUAAAAUCCGUAGAUAUCACUAGGAAUACCUAAAGCGAAGGCGAUCUCCUGGAACAUUACUGACGCUAAGGCGUGAAAGCGUGGGGAGCAAACAGGAUUAGAUACCCUAGUAGUC
rnacentral:rRNA from 1 species